AUUUUAACAAGGAAGGAGAAAGCUAAUUUGUGAACUUUAAAUGUGUACAGGACAUACUCCGGGAGGGACUAGCACGUCAUCACAACGCUGUGAGUAAUAGUACUUCGAUGCACCUUUAACCGUUCAUAAUUAUCGUUAUUGACGUUAUGAUUUUCGUCGUAAGAAUUAUGUUGACAUGUAUGCUAUGUAUGCUAUGUGAGAAACAUUGUGAAAUUAUGGAAACAUCAAAAGAGGUUGUGAAGUUAUGUAUGCCAUGUGAGAAACAUUGUGAAAUUAUGGAAACAUCAAAAGAGUUUGUAAAGUUAUGAACCUAUGUGGCCAAGGGCCAAUUGUGAAAUAUGAAAUGAUG